rnacentral:rRNA from 1 species
GACUCCUUCGGGUCGGGGAAACAGUUGGAAACGACUGCUAAUACCGGAUGUGCCUUCGGGUGAAAGAUUUAUUGCCAGAAGAUGAGCUCGCCUCUGAUUAACUAGUUGGUGGGGUAAAAGCCUACCAAGGCGACGAUCAGUAGCUGGUCUGAGAGGAUGAGCAGCCACACUGGGACUGAGACACGGCCCAGACUCCUACGGGAGGCAGCAGUGGGGAAUUUUCCGCAAUGGGCGAAAGCCUGACGGAGCAAGACCGCGUGAGGGAGGAAGGCCUUUGGGUUGUAAACCUCUUUUGUCAGGGAAGAACACUGACGGUACCUGACGAAUCAGCCUCGGCUAACUCCGUGCCAGCAGCCGCGGUAAUACGGAGGAGGCAAGCGUUAUCCGGAAUCAUUGGGCGUAAAGCGUCCGUAGGUGGCGAAGUAAGUCUGCUGUCAAAGACCACAGCUUAACUGUGGAAAGGCAGUGGAAACUGCAGCGCUAGAGUGCGGUAGGGGUAGAGGGAAUUCCAGGUGUAGCGGUGAAAUGCGUAGAGCUCUGGAAGAACACCGGUGGCGAAAGCGCUCUACUGGGCCGUAACUGACACUGAGGGACGAAAGCUAGGGGAGCGAAAGGGAUUAGAUACCCCAGUAGUC